AUUGAACGCUGGCGGCAGGCCUAACACAUGCAAGUCGAACGAGUGGCGGACGGGUGAGUAAUGUCUGGGAAACUGCCCGAUGGAGGGGGAUACCUACUGGAAACGGUAGCUAAUACCGCAUACCAUCGGAUGUGCCCAGAUGGGAUUAGCUAGUGGGUGGGGUAACGGCUCACCUAGGCGAAGAUCCCUAGCUGGUCUGAGAGGAUUACCAGCCACAACGGAACGAGGACACGGUGCAGACUCCUACGGGAGGCAGCAGUGGGGAAUAUUGCGCAAUGGGCGCAAGCCUGAUGCAGCCCUGCCGCGUGUAAGAAGAAGGCCUUCGGGUUUUAAAGUUCUUUGAGCGAGGAGGCGGUACUCGCCGAAGAAGCACCGGCUAACUCCGUGCCAGCAGCCGCGGUAAAUC
rnacentral:rRNA from 1 species